rnacentral:rRNA from 1 species
GGAAUAUUGCACAAUGGGCGCAAGCCUGAUGCAGCGACGCCGCGUGAGGGAUGAAGGCUUUCGGGUCGUAAACCUCUUUCAGUGGGGAAGAAGCGCAAGUGACGGUACCCACACAAGAAGGCCCGGCCAACUACGUGCCAGCAGCCGCGGUAAUACGUAGGGGCCAAGCGUUAUCCGGAUUUAUUGGGCGUAAAGAGCUCGUAGGCGGUUUGGUAAGUCGGUCGUGAAAGUCCGAGGCUCAACCUCGGAAUGCCGGUCGAUACUGCCAUGACUAGGGUUCGGUAGAGGAGAGUGGAAUUCUCGGUGUAGCGGUGAAAUGUCGCAGAUAUCGAGAGGAACACCAGUAGGCGAAGGGCGGGYUCUCUGGG